CGAGUGCCCCGAGCGUUAUCCGGAAUCAUUGGGCGUAAAGGGUGUGUAGGUGGCAGUGUUAGUCAACUGUUAAAACCCGGGGCUUAACCCCGGACAUGCGGUUGAAACGGCACAGCUAGAGGAUGGCAGGGAUGUAUGGAACUCAUGGAGUAGGGGUGAAAUCCGUUGAUAUCAUGGGGAACACCAAAAGCGAAGGCAGUACAUUGGGCCACUCCUGACACUGAAACACGAAAGCGUGGGUAGCGAAUGGGAUUAGAUACCCCAGUAGUCCACGCCCUAAACGAUGACAACUAGCUAUGCGGAGUAUCGACCCUCUGCGUGGCGUAGCUAACGCGUUAAGUUGUCCGCCUGGGUAGUACGACCGCAAGGUUA
rnacentral:rRNA from 1 species